rnacentral:rRNA from 1 species
AUUAGAGACCGGCGCACGGGUGCGUAACGCGUAUGCAAUCUACCUUUCACAGAGGGAUAGCCCAGAGAAAUUUGGAUUAAUACCUCAUAGUAUAGCAGUUUCGCAUGAAACCACUAUUAAAGUCACAACGGUGAAAGAUGAGCAUGCGUCCCAUUAGCUAGUUGGUAAGGUAACGGCUUACCAAGGCAACGAUGGGUAGGGGUCCUGAGAGGGAGAUCCCCCCACACUGGUACUGAGACACGGACCAGACUCCUACGGGAGGCAGCAGUGAGGAAUAUUGGACAAUGGGCGCAAGCCUGAUCCAGCCAUGCCGCGUGCAGGAUGACGGUCCUAUGGAUUGUAAACUGCUUUUAUACAGGAAGAAACACUACUUCGUGAAGUAGCUUGACGGUACUGUAAGAAUAAGGAUCGGCUAACUCCGUG